UCUCAAAAGGUUCCUGGAUACAAAAGUCCUCCCAAUAUUAUCUGUGCAGGUGGAUACAACACAAAUAAAGGAUCGUGUCAGGGUGAUUCUGGUGGCCCUCUGGUCUGCAAGGGAAUGGCUGUCGGUAUUGUUUCUUUCAACAAGGCGAUUGGUGAAAACUUGGGACAGUGUGACUAUCAGGAUGUCCCCAAUGUCUAUACAGAUAUCUCAAAAUACCUUAACUGGUUCAGGAGGAUUCUCCCGGGGGGAAAAAGUUAAAUCUUACACAAAGCUUUGCAUCAGCACACUGUAAGUGUGCAAGCUAUGCCUCUGUCAGCGUUUGCUCUCAAUGCAGAAUAAAGAAAAUGUUUCAAA